GACGAACGCUGGCGGCGUGCUUAACACAUGCAAGUCGAACGGGCCUGUCUUCUUUUUUGGGGGGUGGGUUGAGUGGCGAACGGGUGAGUAUCACGUGAGUAACCUGCCCUUCGGUCCUGGAUAACCGCUUGAAAGGGCGGCUAAUACGGGGUGGUCCGGUUGGUCCGCAUGGGCUGGUCGGGAUAGAUUCACUGUUUUUGGUGUUUCGGCGGGGGAUGGGCUCGCGGCCUAUCAGCUUGUUGGUGGGGUGAUGGCCUACCAAGGCGGUGACGGGUAGCCGGCCUGAGAGGGUGGGCGGCCACACUGGGACUGGGAUACGGCCCAGACUCCUGCGGGAGGCAGCAGUGGGGGGUAUUGCACAAUGGGCGGAAGCCUGAUGCAGCGACGUCGCGUGAGGGAGGGAGGCCUUCGGGUUGUGAACCUCUGUUUCCGGUGGUGAAGGCCCUGUCCGUGUGGUGGGGUUGACGGUAGCCGGGGAUGAAGCGCCGGCUAACUACGUG
rnacentral:rRNA from 1 species